rnacentral:rRNA from 1 species
UACGUAGGGGGCAAGCGUUGUCCGGAUUUAUUGGGCGUAAAGAGCGUGUAGGCGGCCACACAGGUCAGCUGUGAAAACUCAAGGCUCAACCUCGAGACGUCGGUUGAAACCGUAUGGCUAGAGUCCGGAAGAGGAGAGUGGAAUUCCCGGUGUAGCGGUGAAAUGCGCAGAUAUCGGGAAGAACACCUAUGGCGAAGGCAGCUCUCUGGGACGGUACUGACGCUGAGACGCGAAAGCGUGGGGAGCAAACAGG